rnacentral:lncRNA from 1 species
GGAUACAGAAAAGGAGGAAGUAUAAUUUGUUAUUGUUUGAGAUAAAAUAGUUUGGUCCUAAAAUAGAAUAGUUUAUAUUAUUUUGUACUAGGGCUCGGUCCGUGCUUCGAUCUUCAUUUCGUAAGCCUUAUUGUAGCGUUUACGGAUGUACUUGACUUGUUCAUUGAGUCUCGCCACUGUAUUGUGGAGUUCACUGAUCCGCUGCUCCGGAUCUUCGCGUCAUAGCUCCGAUUGUCCUUGCUUUGCCAUCUUCGAUCGAUGAUCGACUUAUAGCUCACCGCACCAAAUGAUAGGAAUCAAAUUGUAUUUGUAUAUGAAAUUUGAAUACGAGUACCGUAUACCUUCUUUUUACAAACAAAUCUCGUAGUAGAGCCUAAGACUAGAGUUACACUCUAAUCUUUUUCUAUCCAUUCGAUAAAAAACCCACCUUCAACAGUACUUGAUUCUAUUAGAAGAUCCAAUUGAAAGCCCAUUUUAUAUCUUGUGAGAAGUCCAUUAGCCCAUGUAACUAGGGUUUGCCAGGUGCCCAUCUGUUAUAGUAGUUCCAGUGACCCACCUCCACGCACCAAGAUUCUUCACCGAUAAUACCGUAUCUCCUAUAAUUGAUCAACCAGGCUGCGAUCUUAUCAAUCCCAUUGUAAAGGGAAGACAAAACCCUCCUGUACGGAGAUUUUAUCUUGAUGAUGCCUGAAACCUCGAUCCAAACCACAUAUUGUGAAACCUUCCAAGAUCCUCUAAUUUCCUUCUUUCCUUUUUGCAAAAGGAUCCAUCGAGAAUCCUGAUGAGAUAUACUUGCCAAUACUCCCCUUCAUGUCUGUAACCUUCCGAUCCGACCAUCUUGAUGAUGAUCUAACCCAUCUUGCUCCUCCCGUUGAAUUCCGGUAUCCCAUCGUCGAAAAAUCAUGAAAACCCUAAGCCGUCGCCUGUGUCGCCAUCACUAUCGCCUUAUACUUAUAAAGCUUUAUUGAUGCAAAAGAUGAAUAGCUCAAAGGAGCUUUAUUAUGCAAAUGAAAGUAAAGAAACGGGAAGAGAUUGAGUUUGUCACCAAGAACAAAGAUAUUUAUGAAAUGAUAUUGAUAUUCCAAAAGUU